AAUUCACUUUUAAACAGCAAAAGCAUGUAACCACAGAAUCAUUUAGGCUGGAAAAGACCUCUAAGAUCAUCAAGUCCAACUGUUAGCCUAGCACUGCCAAGCCUACCACAAAAUCAUGUCCUUAAGUACCACUUCUAUAUGUCUUUUGAAGACCUCCAGGGAAGGAGGUUCCACUGUUUCCCUGGGCAGUCUCCCAACGCCUCACAACCCCUUCAGUGAAGAAGUUUUUCCUAAUAUCCAACCUACACCUCCCCUGGUGCAACUUGAGG